CGGAGGUGAUGUCAAACCCAGUCCUGACCUGCUGUGGAGGGAAAAGACUGAUUUAAUGAGGCUGAUCC